GGAAAAGGAAGGCUGCACAGAAGAACUGGCAUUUGUGUUCUGCCUACAAAGCUGAAAAGGAUUUCACCCAAAUCAGGGAAGAUCAGCCUUAUGAGGUGGAUAUUAUUGCCACAAUAAUUUUCCAGAUGAAAAAUGGAGGCCCAGAGAUGUUAAGGAAUUUGCCCAAGAUCAUGAAAAGACACUCUCCCCUAUUGAGAUGUCAUGCAAGGAUCAGUGCUGUGUGAAAAUCCACAUGAAGCAGGAAAUGCAGGUGGUGGUGUCCAAUCUGAUUUCAAGAUCUGAGAAGCUGUGCACUGCCUGAAAGGUAUCUAUUUAAGGUGUCACCAGACUCCUGCUCCACUCCUGCCCAAGGCCCAGCCCAUCCAAGAGCAAAAGGCAAGUGGUGUUACAACCUUGGGAUUUCCUGUAUCUGCCCUCUUGCGGAUAGCAGGACAGAGUCACAGCUGCAUUAAAUUCGCUUAAGACUUAUUGAGACACUUCAACACUUCAACAACGACCUGUGAGAUUAAGAUUAUUAUUUUAAAUUUACAGAAGGGGAAACUAAGAAUUAUAGACAUGAAGUGACUCACCUAUGACCACCUGGUGAUAGAACCAGGACUAGAGCUCAGGUAUGAAGAUUUCUGGGGGAGUCCCUGAAAAAAAGGCUCCAUAUGGAAUUACAAUGUGGAAAAGGCCAAGGCCUCACCAACCCUUUUCUCUUCAACACCUGGAUCCCUAAGUCCUUAUUCGUAACCUCCUCUUUGGACAAGGUUUUGGUAGACAAAGCCAGAGCCUCUUGCACUGAGAAAGACAAAUUCUCCUCUUGCAGUGAACCACAGGUAAAUGCUCCAAUAGAGAGUCCAAGCCAAACCUCCGGGUGUUAUUCAUGACCCAGGCAAGUCUGCUUUCUCAUUCCCCCUAUCUCUAGACCGUUUUCCAUUUGGGCUUCCUUUUCUUCUUUUAUCCUCAAAGAAACAUGUUUCCUUCUAGUAGGUUUGGCUGCCACCACUAGGGUCCUGGCUACAACUGGCCCUCAGGUAACUCUCUCACCUCUGAGUUGGAUAGUAUCCUCUCUCGUCCCCAUACACAAGUGUUUCUCUUCCCAGACACCUUCCUUACACAAUUUCCCAUUUCUUUCUCAUCUCACCCUUGCUUUAAUCAACAUAGUUCUUUCCCCUGAGAUUACUCUUCAGCCUUUCUUGUUGAAGCACUGCCCAGUGGUUCUCUUGGGAUUUCCAUUUCUCUCCCCUCAGCUCUCU